UCAUCAACUUCAACAUAGGAAGCUACGCCAUUGGCUACAGCUCCUUAUGGCGAUGUCACUAAGAGCAAUGUUUAUGAUGCAGACAUUACUGGAAGAACAGUCCCCGGCGCGGCACAUGCGACGGCGAGUGUCGCAAACGCCUCAUCUGCGACGCGCGCUCGGGUCGCUCGCACGACCGGCGCGCGCUGUGCGUGCACAUCGAGGCACGCAUUGAUGGUGCCGCGCCCGCGCCGCAGACCUGGCGCGCCUGGCUUUACAAUGGCCUGUCCGUCUCACCUAGUGUACAGCAAGUUUAAACGGUGGUGGAAAUAUUUUAGGUGUUGCACGGAUAACUAAAGAAUGUCGAUGAUAAUGCAAAUACCACAAGUGGCUUACCAGAUACCAAAGUAUGUUAUGGGACUUGGUUGACACGGGACCUUGGAUGCGAGCAGAGAAAUUAAUACUCAGCACCACCGGAUUUUUCUACCAGAACAAAGAUUUUUAAGUUAAACCUAUUUAUUUUUACAAAAAAACAAAUUGCCUUAGUUAUUUUUAUACCAAGAUUGGUACCUCCUUUUUUACUACAUACUAAGUACAGGUUAGUGUUUUAUUAAGUGUUGUUUCAUAGGUAGGUUACCUACCAAUGACUGUUUGUGUGGCCUUACAAAAUAUUAAAAAAAAAUGUAAAUAUUGUUUGUAAAUUGUGUAAUUAAAACUUUAUAAUAAGGA
rnacentral:lncRNA from 1 species